rnacentral:rRNA from 1 species
AAGCUGGAAUCGCUAGUAAUCGUAGAUCAGCAUGCUACGGUGAAUACGUUCCCGGGUCUUGUACACACCGCCCGUCACACCACGAGAGUUUGUAACACCCGAAGCCGGUGGAGUAACCUUUUAUUAGGAGCUAGCCGUCGAAGGUGGGACAGAUGAUUGGGGUGAAGUCGUAACAAGGUAGCCGUAUCGGAAGGUGCGGCUGGAUCACCUCCUUUCUAAGGA